rnacentral:rRNA from 1 species
GACGAACGCUGGCGGCGUGCUUAACACAUGCAAGUCGAACGGAAAGGCCCUGCACUUGUGGGGUGCUCGAGUGGCGAACGGGUGAGUAACACGUGAGUAACCUGCCCUUGACUUUGGGAUAACUUCAGGAAACAGGGGCUAAUACCGGAUAUGAGCUCCUGCUGCAUGGUGGGGGUUGGAAAGUUUCGGCGGUUGGGGAUGGACUCGCGGCUUAUCAGCUUGUUGGUGGGGUAGUGGCUUACCAAGGCUUUGACGGGUAGCCGGCCUGAGAGGGUGACCGGCCACAUUGGGACUGAGAUACGGCCCAGACUCCUACGGGAGGCAGCGGUGGGGAAUAUUGCACAAUGGGCGGAAGCCUGAUGCAGCAACGCCGCGUGCGGGAUGACGGCCUUCGGGUUGUAAACCGCUUUCGCCUGUGACGAAGCGUGAGUGACGGUAAUGGGUAAAGAAGCACCGGCUAACUACGUG